UUUUUUUUUUUUUUUUGGUCUUUUGAGGGCCGCACACAUGUAUAUGGAGGUUCCCAGGCUAGGGGUUGAAUCAUCCGAGCUGCAGCUGUUGGCCUGGGCCAGAUCUGAACCUCGUCUGCAACCUACACCAAGCUCACAGCAAUGCCGGAUCCUCAACCCACUGAGCGAGGCCAGGGAUCGAACCUGCGUCCUCAUGGAUGCUAAUCAGAUUCGUUUCUGCUAAGCCAUGAUGGGAACUCCUUCCUUUACUCUUUUUAGUAGACAGUUUGGCUGCACUUUGCUAUUCUCCUUAUGUGAUAAUAGCAGGACUUCAAGACUGUAACUGUGUGAUUUUUAAGUUACUAGCAGAGUGUGUACAGAAUGGGGCAGAAGUGAAGUGGAGUAAAUUCAUUUUUAUUUGAAUUUGAAAUUGCCAACUCUGUUCCUCUCUGGGUUUCUUUUAAUCUCCCAUUGAUCUAUGCAUUUAAAUUUGGGGAUUGAAUUUUGCACCAGCAGAGUGAGGUCUGAGGUCUGGCCUGUAUUUCAGCCACACCAACGAGAAGCCAAAAUGCUCUUUGGGGGUAAUUAGCGUCCUCACUUCUUUGUGUGUUCUCGAUAAGUCCGGUUAUCCCAGGGCACAAACUACUUCCAGGAGAUAAUUAGGGGCUGCCGAGAGCUACAUGAACUCUGCCAGGCCACAGGGGCGUUGUAAAUGACUACUUCGCAGAGAGACUUAUCUGCUUUCAGCAACUUGCAGCACCUCAACCUUAUCCCCACAAGGCUUGGACACAGACUGCUUGGAUUAUUACAUUCUCAUUUGGAAGCUUUGAGUCUCUUUUUACGGAGACGGAUGUCAUUAUGUCUUAAAGGUAGCUUUGGGGACCGGAAGAGUUAAUGCCACACAUUUGGACAAGCGGUAGAAAAUGAGGACAUAGCUUGAGGUCCGGGAAAGAGCAUUCAUCAAGAUUCUCUUUGAUUCAUGAUGGUCUGUCUGAAUUUUACAGCCAACUUCCCUCAUUAUCUUUCUCAAAUUGUCCAGUACUCGUAAUGAGAGCUGCAUGGCUGUUGCUUAUAAAAUCCCAAUUAAGUGCCGCACCCUUUUCAUUUAUUAUUUCUCAUCUUACAAUAACUGAGUUAUAAUAAUCAUAGGAGCAAACACAUGGUGACUAAGACUAUACCAGCAUUAUUCUGAGCCCUUAUUUUAAGCCAUGAGUGUCUCCAAGCCUAUAUGUUUUAUGUCUCUUUAGGAAUGUCUGGAAUUCUCUUCUCUAGCAUCAAUUAGAAUAUUCUUUUUCUCUUUCUAAGACUAUUCUGAUUUUCAGAAACAGGACAUCUAGAGACUCUCGAAGAAUAAUUAAUGAACGCUCACAUAACCACUGCCCAGAAUGACAACUUUUAGCCUUUCAUAUAUGUUUAAAGACUGAGUUUUUAUUACUUCAUAUAAUGUCUGGCAUACUUUAAUACACCACAUAAUCUCCAGCUUCCAUUUGUCCCCCACUCACAGAUGUACUUCUCAUUUCCCGCAGCCAUCCCAGCCACGAUGCGAGAGCCUCAUCACAUAUUUACAUCCAUUUCAACAUGUAUUAUAUUUGCAUGUAUUUUAAAUUCACGCAUGUGUUUCACACUUGACAUAGCAUUCUUCACCUUUGUCCACUUAACAUGGUUUUUGAGAUCUACCCAUAUGAACGCACAAAGAUCUGGCUCUUUCUGCUUACCACCCUUUCAAGGUCCCAUCACAUCAACCUGCCACCUCUUAUUUAUUCCCCUAUAGGUGGUUACUGGGUUGGUUUCUGAUAGCUCAUUAUUGCUAAUAAAGUGACUACAUAUAUCUUGAUAAGUAUCUGGUUUUGCUUGUCGGGCUGCCAGACAAAGUACCAUAGCUAGAUGGCUUAUGUAACACAUUUAUUUUCUCACAGUUCUAGAAGCUGAAGUCCUAGAUAAAAGUGUCCGCUGGUUUGGUUGCUCCUGAAUUCUCUCCUUGGCUUGUGGAUGGUUGCCAUCUCUGGGUCCCAAGUGGUCUUUUCUCUGUGCACAUCCAUCCGUGGGGCCUCUCUUUUUUCUUAGAAAGACCCCACUCAUACUAGAUUAGCCCCACCGCCACCCCCAGCCCCACCCCCCCUACAACAUCAUUUAAUUUGAAUGAUCUCUCUAAAGACCCUUUCUCUAAAUACAGCCUCCUUGUGAAAGGUGUCCUGUCUGUCCACGUUCUAGCCACGUGACUUCAGCACGCUCCUCGGCCUUGCAGCUCCUCACCCACAGUAAAACCCAUCUGUCUCCUGGGUGAUUUUUAGAAAAACAACAUGUAAAGCAUCGCCCUGGGCCUCACUCAGCAUCAGCUAUUGGGAGGUCUACUUGUGUAUAUGAAGACAUGUUUAUCUAGGAAUAGAACUGGUCAUGGAAUUUCCGAGACUCAGGGAACAGAUUUUCAGUUCUUCUAGGUUCAGCCAAACUGCUCUCCGUGGUGGUUACACCAAGGAACACUUCCUCUGGCCAAGUCCAAGGGUUCUUGUAUCCUCAUUUUCUGGCCAAGCAUUGAUCUUUUCCAAACUCUAACAUUUCUGUGCAUCUGACGUUUGAGCAAAAGCAUGUCCUUGUUUAGCACAUGCUUUGAGUUAUGCCUGUUUCGGGAGAUCUAUGGAGCAUAAGGGAGAAAACAUGCAGGCACUUCCGUGUGCUUCUCAGAAUUAUUUCCUUGGCACCGUCCACAGCAAAGACAAAUACAAAGGAAACCUCUCUUUGGCUAGAGAUGGAUACAAGCAGGGAGCCAGUCGGGUGCCUCUGAUCUCUGGUUCUUUUUCUGAACUUUCAGGGAUUUUUACAUCUCCUUCAGGAAAUAAAGUGUAUCUUUCCACGGGACACUCUCCAAAGUUUAGGAAAGUGAAGUAACCCUUUCCUGGGGACAAUUUUCCUUUGGCUGAGGCAUUGGCUCUCAAAUGUGAUGUUCAAGAAUCUUCUGCAGAGCUUGUUAAUAGUGCCAGUUUCUGAAUUACACCGUCAGAGUCUUAUGCCGCAGACAAGGGUCCGCAUUUUAACAAGUACUCUCGCGAUUCACUCCAGGACGUAUGUAGCUCUCACUGUGAGAAACACAGCUUUCAAAGAUUCUCUGGGUACGUUGCUAAGCAUAGGACUAUUAUGUAAACGCUGAAUUGUAUCUCAGUCUAAGUAAACCUCCAGUUUGCAGGCAAACAUGGGCUUUGGAAAUGUGCCUUCUUGAGUCUUAUGUUUUCCGUUUAAUGUGAAAGCCAGUGACUAGGAAAUUGCUCAGGGUCUUUCCAGUUCUGAUGUUCUGCGUUCUGGUUCUGUUAUAUGCCUGACCCAUUUGUGGCUGGGUCUGCACUACCCUGUGCAGGGACAGUGUUCAUAGAUCAUGGAUCAUUUACUGGCAACAAUAAUGCAUUUCUCUCAGAAACUGGAAACUCAGGGAAAUAAGGCUACCCAUUGAAAAUUGAAUACUCAAUUGAACUUUUCAUUGAACAUGGCAGAUAAGAUUGUUACAUUUGUAACUGUCCCUCAGAAGGUAGAGAAUCUCCCAGAUUUAAAAAACAAACAAACAAUCAAAAACCAACAAGGAGUUCCUGUCAUGGCUCAGCGGUUAACGAACCCGACUAGUAUCCCUGAGGACACAGGUUCGAUCCCUGGCCUGGUUCAGUAGGUUAAGGAUCUGGCAUUGCCGUGAGCUGUGGUGUAGGUCACAGACACAGCUCGGAUCCUGCAUUGCUGUGGCUGUGGUGUAGGCCAGAAGCUGUAGCUCCUAUUGGAUCCUUAGCCUGGGAACCUCCAUAUGCC
rnacentral:lncRNA from 1 species